GAGGAUGAGAUUGUUUGUAGCUAUUUUUAAUGGUAUCCUUUGCUAUGUUAGGUGGCUUGCUUGAUUUAAAUAUGCUAUGGAGGAUUACAUGGAUAAUACUCUGCUUAAUUUCUUUAUUUUGCUUCCCUUCUUGGCGGUCUUCUAAUACAGGAUGCAUGUUUGAAAAAAAGACUCACAAAAUUGAUAUGAAGAAACAACAACCAGAACUUGCUUCAGUAAUUUAUUCUCCACCAGUGUGUCCUGAAUCAUUUGUACAUUACUAAAUUCUAUGCUUAUUUGUUAGCAGCAAAAUGACUAAUUCAGUUCUGGUACAAUCUUAAUACUUGCAGGAAAACCGAUCUUCAUUAGUCAUAAGUAGAGAUAAGAAGACUGUUAAGUUUAUGGCAAAGUCAUGUCAUUAUUAAGUCUUUAUUCUUAUUGGAUCAGCUUAGUAAAAAUGAUUUCAGUUGUUGCCCUAAAUUCGAUAAAGGUAGUAAUGUGUUGUAGAUACCACCACUUGCAUGAACAACCAGAAUGGCAAUAAUAAGUGCUAUUUAUUCAUGUCAGCUUACUUUAAAUAAAUAUGUCUUUCAUGGAACAGUAUGUGUGUGAUGGAUCUUUUCAAGUUCGAUUCAUGUUCAAUUAGGUGCAUAUUUCGUGAGAAAAUCCCGACGUCCAGCUCUUCAAGGAGAGGAGCCUGCCACCACCGACGCUGACGUUGCCAUGGGUGCCCAUCCUUGCUGUCCGAUGGAACCACUCAGACGGUCAUACCGCGGUCGUCGUCAGAAUCAUCCGAGUUGAUUUAACCAAUUUUUGAAUCCUCUCUGAAUAAGCAGGAAGUUGUAUUUGGAAGCUUUCUUGGACUUAUAUCGUAAUCAUGGUAUAUGGCUUGAUUGUUUCA